rnacentral:misc_RNA from 1 species
AGUAAAGCAAAUAUGACGAAAUUCUACUAUUGAUCUUUUCAGAGGGCAUUAGCGGCAGAGAAAAGAUUGUUAAAAAACUUAGAAGAGACUGGACAGAAUACACCAAUAAUGAGUCGGUGUUUCCAGUGUGGUUCAGACAUGACGGGAAAGGUUCCUUUUGAAUAUUCGGAUUUCAAAUUCUGUUCCCCAAAGUGUUUAAAACAGCAUCGAAUGGUCAAAACAUAAAUUACAAUUCAAUAUAUAAGAUCCUUAUAGAUUAUUUUAUUGAACAUAUUUAUUUAAAAGAGAAAUUUAUAAAUUAGUCGCAAUAUAAACCAAUAAAAUGUGACACAUUUCCUGUUUCCUGAGUUUGUUUUGAAAGCAGGAUGUCAUGAGGGUUGUAUUAGUGUUAUCAACUUAAUUCUCAUCCUUUGAGUUCUGUCUCUGAAUUAUGUUGAUUAAUGAGAUGGGAACUAGAUAUUCAAAUUAACUGAACUUUAUUCUGAUCUUUGUCCACGCCAAUCCAAAUAUCUGAUCAAAGAUCAAUUAGUUGUUCCAUAAUUGGCCCAUAUAAAACCAAACGAAACAUAGCUGUUUGCUUAGAAACCAAAAUACAGCAAACAAGGUUUUCUGUACAACAUGUUUGGAUUGAUUCUUGUUUUGUGCUUGUCGCAUAAUACGAUGAUGACAGCAUCUGAUUCUUUGAAUACGAGUUUUCCUGAAAGGGCGACUCCACAAGGUGCAGAUGCGACAGUCUUGCGACAAUUGCUGAAUCAAGAAACUUUGAUAAGAAUGUCUUUGGAGAAAAAUGUUCACGUGCUGAUGAAGGAUAUGGUGUCACUUAAGGAUUCCAUGUUAUCUUUACAAAGUGAGAUGGCGGGGAUUAGGCAGAUAGCGAAAGAUGGAAUAGCUGACUCUAAAGAAAAAAUAGAAGGUUUGAAAAGUGAGUUACAAGGUUUGAAAGAAACCGAAGAAUACUUAGAAGAAAGGCUGGUGGAGCAAAACAAAACUGGUUUGAAUUUGUUUGAGAGGUUGACGAAAUUCAAGAAUGAAAUGAAUGGUUUCCAAACUGAUAUUCAGACUAGCCUUGCUCAAAACAACAAGAACACGAGCGAAGUACUGUCAGACAUAAAGGUGCAAGUUCGGUUGUUGUCAACAAGUCUGAUGGGGCUUGACCAGCAUGUAAAACAACUAGACCAGACCGUCCCAACACGCUUAGAAGAAAAUUACAAGGUGGUUUCAAGUCAGAUGUCCAACAUCUCAGCAAAUAUACUAGAGAAAACCAAUGAUUCCUUGCACAGUUUAAAAUCUGAAAUUGCAGAAACCAAGUAUGAUCAGCUCAAGUUAUCGGCCGCCAUCUUGUCCCUUGAAUGGUUUCGGAACAACAUCUCCAGUGGACUGAUUGACUCUAAGGCUCCCAUGGUCGUUGCUUUCACCGCUGGAGUGACAGAAAGUAAAAGGUAUUGGAGCUCCGGAAACUUGAUUUUUUCCACCAUUAUUUACAAUGAAGGUGGGGCAUAUGAUGCCUCGACCGGUGUCUUUACGUCACCGACAGACGGGAUAUUUGUUUUUUACGUCACACCGCAUACAGCUCAAACACUAUAUACGUUGACAUAGUUAAAAACAGGUCUUCUUCUGUUAGAGCGCUUGCAUAUGGAGGAACUUCCCACCAAACUGGAACAAACAUGGCGGUUUUUAGUUUGAGACGUGGUGACAAAGUCUGGGUAAAAUAUCACUCGGGGCAAGGAUUCUACACUGAUUCGACACCAAUCACAUCGUUCACGGGUUUCAUGAUCUCUUGAGGUCAUAAUCUUAUUAUUUAAAUAAAAGGAAAGGAGCCUUCAUGUUUAUGAAAUCUGAGAGAUUUGUUCUUUAAAAAAAGUUCUAUACAAAAGCAUGGUUUCUUUUUGUCAGACUUUCAUUUUCAAUGAAAUAAAAUAAAUGUACAAUUUUU